GACAGAGGGUGCAAACGUUGUUCGGAAUUACUGGGCGUAAAGCGCGUGUAGGCGGCUAAGUAAGUCGGGCGUGAAAUCCCACGGCUCAACCGUGGAAGUGCACUCGAAAACUGGAUGGCUAGAGUCCUGGAGAGGAAGGUGGAAUGCUUGGUGUAGAGGUGAAAUUCGUAGAUAUCAAGCGGAAACACCGGUGGCGAAGGCGGCCUCUGGGACAGUGACUGACGCUGA
rnacentral:rRNA from 1 species